rnacentral:rRNA from 1 species
UUCGGUGGCCAUAGCGAAGGGGAAACACCCGGUCCCAUUCCGAACCCGGUAGUUAAGCCCUUCAGCGCCGAUGGUACUGCCCUGGCAACGGGGUGGGAGAGUAGGUCGCCGCCGAGA